AUACAUACUUAUGUAUACUAGAAAACUAGUUGUAGACUAUGUAAAAUUUAAACUUUUAAUUUAAAUUGACGAUUAAAAUUCUACUCUCAGGUGUCGUUCUUGGGUCAAAGCAGUUGGGAAUGAAGACUGCUUACAUACCCGUUAAAAAAUUGCAUGAAAUUAAAUAUUUGUGUGGAUAUCACUUUGAAAAAAAGUAUUUUAAUACAAAGGGCAAUAGAUUAAUUAAAAAUGCUAUUCCAACAUUAAAUUUGCCACAACCAUUGGAUGACAGUCUUUUGGUAGAUUUUCCUUUAUAUGGUGAAGAAAAAGAAAAAUCUCAAGUCUUGAAAGUUUUCAAGAUAUAACAAAUUCAGAGAAUGUGCAAUGAAAUGAAAAUAUUUUAUCUAAAAAUGCUGAAUACAGCUUUCUCCCUUUGCCCUCUACUUCGCAGGCACCACAAGGACUUACUUUUGAAAAAACACUAGAUUCUACAUUAACUGAACGUGAGAAGAUCCUGCUGAGUCAUUUGACUCAAACUAAAUUAAGCUUAAAGCCUUUGGCAGUCGAAAUGCGAACUGUGAGGAAGACACUAAUAAAUUGUUUGUAGCUUAUAACAAUAUUAGCGGGGUCCGCACUGACAUGCCUAAUAGAAAUAAUAAUGAUGACAUUCAAGUUGUUGAUGAGAUAGUUUAUCCUGUUUUGUCUCUGCCCAAUGAAAUUGAUUUCUUUUUAUAUGAAAAUGAUUUAUGUAACUUUUUGGAGCAGCCAGUAGUAUAUGUUAGUGUUUAUUUAGCUGCAAAAUUAUUAGAUAGAACGAAAUGUCAGUAAUGUAAAGAUUCGUUAAAAGUUGAUAAACCAGUAGACGACUUAAACAAUUAUAUUAGUUUUAAAGAAUGGUGGAAAGAUUCGA